CUUUGAUAGUUUUCUUACUUUGAAAAUGGCAGCAACCAGGAAUCCGUUCAUAGCAUACAAUUGAUCUAUCCGAACGUUGUUUUCCAUACAAGUGGUAAGAUUUCUGAUGCUUAUCUGUAGGUCAUGAGAGUAUAUAAAAGCGUCAUCAUAAAAGAAGUCUCUCACAUAUUUGACAUGCUCACUUUAAUCAACACACACAAAAUACCUCUUCAACUUUCAAGAAUGGGAUGCAAAUUCUCUUGCAUAAUCUCCAAGCAGCCAAUUUUUCUGUAGAGCCUGCCAUUUUAACAAUUUUAAGAUAAAUU